UAUUAACAAUAUACAAUUUAAGGUAAAGAGAUCAUGUGUGAUUAAAAUUAAUGUUCCUAUCUGUUUUCUAACUUUUCUACAAUGAAUAAUUUCAUGUAUAAUUUUAUUUUAAAGUCAUAGCAAAGAGAGAAACAGGCAUCAAAUUCAGAAUCUUAAGUGUUUUGUAAUUUUGUCUGGCACACACUCUACUUCCCCCAAAUUACCAGAGCAACAGUUAUGAGCCUUUCUUCAGAAUUGGCAUAGUCCUGAAGCAACAGUGAUCCUAUUAGUGAAGUUUUACAUCCCCUUUCUUUUGUAGUUUACCACAGUGAGUUAGUUAGCUUUCUUAUGCUGGUACAAAAUACCUGAGAUAAAGAACUUGGAGAAAGGACUUAUUUUUUAUCAUGGUUUCAGAGGUUUCACUCCAUGGUCACCUGGCCCCAUUGUUUUGGGCCUGUGAUGCCACAGUGUAACAUGAAGGACCACACAGCAGAGGAGGGAGUUCACCUCAUGGCAGACAGGAAGCAAAGAGAAAGAGGAAGGGGGUAAGCCCCAAUAUCCCCUUUGAAGACAUGCCCCCAAUGACCUCACUUUCUUCUACUAGGCCCAACUCCAGAAGGUUCCUCCACCUCCCAAUGGCACCAUAGGCUGGGGACCAUGCCUCUAACAUAAGGCCUUUGGGGGACACUUAAGAGCCACACCACAACAGAUGACUUGAAAUUAAGAGGAUCUUGCCAUCAUUCCUAGGCAAAUCGCAUAAUAUUGUUAGAGAAACGUUACAAAACAGAGGAAACUAUCUCUGGAAAAGAAAGAAGAAACUGGGAACUUAAGGGACCUAGGAAUCGGGUGAGAUUCCUGUCUGUUUAUACUACUGUCCCUUGUGCUGAAAUUGUGUGGUGGCACAAACCUGACAUCCUAGCACUUGAGAGGCUGAGGCAGGAGGAUUGCUGUGAGUUCAAGGCCAGUUUGGGCUACCUGGCAAGACCCUGUUUCAAGAAACCAAACAAAACAAAACAAAAAAACUACCAAAAAAAAAAUUACUAUUGAUCAUACAA
rnacentral:lncRNA from 1 species